rnacentral:rRNA from 1 species
ACGGGUGAGUAACACGUAUCCAACCUGCCGUCUACUCUUGGACAGCCUUCUGAAAGGAAAGAUUAAUACAAGAUGGCAUCAUGAGUCCGCAUGUUCACAUGAUUAAAGGUAUUCCGGUAGACGAUGGGGAUGCGUUCCAUUAGAUAGUAGGCGGGGUAACGGCCCACCUAGCCUUCGAUGGAUAGGGGUUCUGAGAGGAAGGUCCCCCACAUUGGAACUGAGACACGGUCCAA